rnacentral:rRNA from 1 species
UACGAAGGGGGCUAGCGUUGCUCGGAAUCACUGGGCGUAAAGCGCACGUAGGCGGCUUUCUAAGUCAGGGGUGAAAUCCUGGAGCUCAACUCCAGAACUGCCUUUGAUACUGGAGAGCUUGAGUCCGGAAGAGGUGAGUGGAACUCCGAGUGUAGAGGUGAAAAUUCGUAGAUAUUCGCAAGAACACCAGUGGCGAAGGCGGCUUACUGGUCCGGUUCUGACGCUGAGGCGCGAAAGCGUGGGGAGCAAACAGGG